rnacentral:rRNA from 1 species
AGUGAACGCUGGCGGCGUGCCUAAUAUAUGCAAGUCGAAAGAAGUGGCGCACGGGUGAGUAAUAUAUAGCUAAUAUGCCCCUUGCUGGAGGACAACAGUUAGAAAUGACUGAUAAUACUCCAUCGCAAGGGAUGAGACUAUAUCGUAUCAGCUCGUCGGUGGGGUAACGGCCUACCGAGGCUAUGACGCGUAACUGGUCUGAGAGGAUGACCAGUCACAUGUGAACGGAGACACCGUCCAAACGUCUACGGGAGGGAGCAGUAGGGAAUAUUGAGCAUUGGGGGAAACACUGACUCAGCAACUCCGCGUGGAGGAUGAGACUUUUCGGAGCGUAAACUCCUUUUGUUAGGGAAUCGGUACCGAACGAAUAAGCACCGGCUAACUCCGUGCCAGAAGCCGCGGUAAUUC